rnacentral:rRNA from 1 species
UGCCAGCCGCCGCGGUAAUACGGAGGUUGCAAGCGUUGUUCGGAUUUACUGGGCGUAAAGGGAGCGCAGGCGGUUUGGUAAGUCUGAAGUGGAAGCCCGGGGCUCAACCCCGGAAGGCCUUUGGAUACUGUCAGACUUGAGUUCGUGAGAGGAAAGCGGAAUUCCAGGUGUAGCGGUGAAAUGCGUAGAUAUCUGGAGGAACAUCGGUGGCGAAAGCGGCUUUCUGGACCAAUACUGACGCUGAGAUGCGAAAGCGUGGGGAGCGAACAGGAUUAGAUA